AUUUAAUCCAAAAUUAAUCAGCUCCUCUCAACGAGCAGCACUGAAAGCAGGGGAAAUGGCACUGCAUAGAGGAAUGAGAGACAGCUCUCUGCAAGGUCCUCCAGUCCACCCAUGGAGUAGAGCAAUGAAGCUCCUCUCUUCAAUUCCUGCCUUGGCCAAGAAGCAUAAAACUGGAUAACAAAGGGACACACAAUAUACUGCAAGUCCUCUGCAAUCAUU